UGGGGAAUAUUGGGCAAUGGGCGAAAGCCUGACCCAGCAACGCCGCGUGAGGGAAGAAGGUUUUCGGAUUGUAAAGCUCUGUUGAGAGGGACGAGAGAUUACUUCAGGAAAUGGGAGUAAGAGGACGGUACCUUUCGAGGAAGCCACGGCUAACUACGUGCCAGCAGCCGCGGUAAUACGUAGGGGGCGAGCGUUGUUCGGAAUCAUUGGGCGUAAAGGGUGCGCAGGUGGCCGAUCAAGUCUGGCGUGAAAGUGCGGGGCUCAACUCCGUGAUGCGCUGGAAACUGGCCGGCUAGAGUACAGCAGGGGGCGUCGGAAUUCCAGGUGUAGGGGUGAAAUCUGUAGAUAUCUGGAAGAACACCGGUGGCGAAGGCGGACGCCUGGGCAUGUACUGACACUGAGGCACGAAGGUGCGGGGAGCAAACAGGUUUAGAUACCCUGGUAGU
rnacentral:rRNA from 1 species